rnacentral:pre_miRNA from 1 species
CCGGCAAGUCGGAUCCACCAGCGGGAAGGCUGGGGUCGCUAGAUCCGGAGGCCCCUGCCCUCCUGUUGGCUGAUGCAGCAGCGGUA